CCCUAGACGCAGAAGCAGAGCUGCGCAAAUAUCAUGUACUCACAAAUGCUGGCAAAAUUAUCCAAGAAUGUGCAAAGUCAAAUUUCAAAAUGUGUUGUUUGUCUUAAAUAUAAUUUGCGAUGGCGCGUUUCCGAAUUUGGCGCCUAAUUCUAUCAAAUUUAAGUCUACGAAAAAGAAAAAUGUUUAUAAAUUCCGAUAAAAAAAAAGUUGUGUUUGAGUGCAGUGAAAAGUGUUGAUUUGUUGCUGCUAAAACGAUAUUUCAAUAGCUGACCUCGAAAAAGUGGAUUGAAAAAAUAUAUAAUCAUUUUAGAAAAAAAUUUAACGAUUAAUUUUUCUGAAGACAUCUACAUUUUUCGAAGUGAUUUUUGAAAUCAACAGGAGCGACCAUUUUUUGCAAAAGUAUUUUAAUUGUCAGACCAGAAGGUGGAGCAAACUCUUCUUUGACGCCGAUCGAUUUGCGUCAGGCUAAGACGCAGUAUACUACGACGUUUGAUCUUAUGUAUUUUCAUAGGAAUUAGUCAAAGUUAAUAGUUGACUCUUAUCAACGAUGUUUGUAUAGAGACGCCAUAAGACUAACAUGAAGGGCCAGUAGGGGAUUCUAUAACUGAGAAGAGAAAGGGAACAGAAUGAUGCCGGCUGGUAAGCAGAUGGCUGCUCCGUUUAUUGGUUUAUUCGUCGGUAACGGCGAUGUGUUCCGCCCGAAUAAAGUUUCUUAAGUGUGGUCGAGGACGAAUUCUAUGAUGGUGUACAAAUCUACUGAUUUAAAUAAAAAAAAAAAAGAUUUUUUUGGUUUAACGUCAGUAAUCGCGAAAGCUAUCGAUAAAUUCACCAGUCAAACGCAGAGAUUCAAGAAACGAAAAAGCCCAUCAAUGGAGGCGCAAAGUGAAAAUUAAACGAAAAAAUGAAUUCGAGAGUUCGUGAAAUCAAAUCAAACUUAAAUGGUGGAUAGAAUGGUAGCAUCCCAGUUACAGCGUCAGCAUCAUUUUAUUUAAUCUAGAAUGAUGGCGCUAUGUGGACGAACGCCGAUCAAUACGUGAAUGUAAAUGACACUAUAACCGGGUGAUCUAAAAAAAACAGCAGAGUCACGAGCGUAAACAUGAAUACAAGAACGAGAAGAAUAAUACCGCUAUAAAGGAGCGCACAUGAAUUGGCAGGAUAAGCUGCGUCAUGUUUGACCCGUUAACAACGGAUCGAUCUUAAAGUCAAAGUCAAUCGAAUGCUGUCAACGAUAGUGCAAGUGAAAUGAUAUAUAUACUGUUGAGAUAGUCCUCGUUUAAAAACACUUAUGUUCAAAAAUGAUUUAUGGAUUAUAAACGAAGUGGGAAGACUAUAUUAGUAUUUUGACUAAUACCUAAAAAAAAAUCAUUGUGUUUUCUGAGCAAAAAAUUCAAAAUUGUAUUCAUCUUUGUUGCACUCAUGCUGUAUACUGGUGGAAACAAUUUUUUUUUAGUGUAAUUUAUUAUACUGGGCUGAGAACGAAGCGGAUAGAAACAGAUAAUUGUAAUAUUUGAAAAUAAUUAUUAUACUUUAAAAUAAAGGCCCAGUUAAUGUUCUACAUCUACCCUGUAGAUCCGAAUUUGUUUGAAAAGAGGCGACAAAUUCGGUUCUAGAGAGGUUUGUGUGGUGCAUACAGAGCUACAAUGGUCUCAAUAAUUUCUAACAAUAACAAGAAAAGUGAGUGAAUAAAUUGUUCAAGCAUUUUAUAUUAGGUUAUUAGUUUAAUUUUGAGAUAUUAUAUAUAUAGUUUACUAUAUCCAAGAUGUUUCGUAAAAUUGUAAAAUAAAGUAAACUGUUAUUCAGCAGAUAGUAUGUAACAGUAACUUUUUCGAAAUUAAUUGUAUUCAAGAGGCGCAUGAAGUCUUGAUCAAAUAAAUUCAAUAAAUAAUUACCAAAAUUGUGUAUUUAACUAGAUAAGAUAUUUUAUAAUACAAUAAAAUUUAGCAGAAUUAGUAUGUAGGGAAGGGUGGGGUAGAGCGGCCCCCCUGAAAUUUAGAUCAAAAAAUAAAUUUUUUUUCUUCGCCUAAUUACUAUAAAUCCGAUAUGUUUGCGCAUUUUUACCCCUACGCAUGACAUUUGGGGCAAAAUGAACAAGCCCAAAAUUUUGAAAGAGUGAUUUUUUCAUAUUUUUAUCGUCAAAUUAAAAAAAAAUUAUUAUAAUUCCACAUUUCUAGCCCUACGCAUAACACCUGGGGCAAAAUGGACCAGCCGAAACUUCCGAAAAAAUUAUU